GAUGAAGAACGUAGCGAAAUGCGAUAAGUAAUGUGAAUUGCAGAAUUCAGUGAAUCAUCGAAUCUUUGAACGCACCUUGCACCCUUUGGCUAUUCCGAAGGGUAUGCCUGUUUGAGUAUCAUGAACACCUCAACUCUCAUGGUUUGCCAUGAUGAGCUUGGACUUUGGGGGUCUUGCUGGCCUGUGGUCAGCUCCUCUCAAAUGGAUUAGCUUGCCAGUGUUUGGUGGCAUCACAGGUGUGAUAACUAUCUACGCUUGUGGUUUUCCACCAGGUAACCUUCAGCAAUGGGGGUUCGCUGGGGCUCAUAAAUGUCUCUCCUCAGUGAGGACAGCUCUUUGAACGUUUGAUCUCAAAUCAGGUAGGACUACCCGCUGAACUUAAGCAUAUCAAUAAGCGGGGA
rnacentral:misc_RNA from 1 species